rnacentral:rRNA from 1 species
UUUUAGCGGCGGACGGGUGAGUAACGUGUGGGUAACCUGCCUUUUACUGUGGAAUAAUCGUUGGAAACGACGACUAAUACCGCAUACGGUUCUUGGAAGGCAUCUUCUAAGAAAGAAAGGAGUAAUUCGGUAAAAGAUGGGCCCGCAUCUGAUUAGCUAGUUGGUGAGAUAAUAGCCCACCAAGGCAACGAUCAGUAGCCGACCUGAGAGGGUGACCGGCCACAUUGGGACUGAGACACGGCCCAAACUCCUACGGGAGGCAGCAG